UACGUAGGUGGCAAGCGUUGUCCGGAUUUACUGGGCGUAAAGAGCGCGCAGGCGGUUGUGCAAGUCGCGUGUGAAAGCCCCCGGCUCAACUGGGGAGGGUCACGCGAUACUGUUCGACUUGAAGGCAGGAGAGGGAAGUGGAAUUCCCGGUGUAGUGGUGAAAUGCGUAGAUAUCGGGAGGAACACCAGUGGCGAAGGCGACUUCUUGGCCUGUUCUUGACGCUGAGGCGCGAAAGCUAGGGUAGCAAACGGG
rnacentral:rRNA from 1 species